AUGUUUUUCGGGAGGAGCCAAAAAGGUAUCGUGCUCCGGGCGCCAGUUAUGCUCGCUACAUCGCUGAGCCAUACGCAGUUAAUAGAGUGGCCGGUUUUUCUACGGGCUUAAAAUGUUAUUCUGCAAAUAAACUGACAGGAAUUAUAAUCAAUGGAAAUCUGAAUAAUCUAUACAUUAGGAUAGCUCGAAUAGUAUAAUGACUUGUGUACGAUUGGAAAUUGACAGUAAAACUCUAAUUUUAAAUUCCACUUACUUAAAACCAUUUGAUGAUAUUCAGAACCAGUUGAUACAAAUGGACAAUCUACUAAAUAAAGUGAAAAAUCCACUUCUUUUAUGCUUGGACUUCAACCUCGAUCACCAGUUUGAUAUGACACAAAACAGAAUAGCGGAAGAGAGCACUUUUUGUAUUUUCUGACUACAAAUAGUCUUAUAGUCAGAUGCGGAUUUAACGGUGGGCGCACUGGGCGCACGCCCCGGGCCCCCGACUUCUGGGGGCCCACAAAACCCCAAUUUUAAACAUUUUUCUAAUGCAAUUAUAAUUACGUACAAGUUUUCAAUCAGCAGUAAAACCUGAUAGUAUGUUUAUAUUUGCUUAUUUUCAUUAACAACCAAAGCCCACAUAUAAUGACAAACAAAUUAC
rnacentral:lncRNA from 1 species